rnacentral:rRNA from 1 species
UUUGUAUCCCUUGGGUGUACUUUCCCGGUGGUUGGUUAACAUCAAUUUCGGUCAUCAUAAAAUGAUGGGAGGAAUGUAGCUUCGAUCUCGGUUGAAGUGUUAUAGCCUCUGGUAGAUGUGAUGAUCGGGAUUGAGGAUUGCAACGAAUACCUUUUAGGCUACCCGCCUGAUCUCUGAUGGUUGCUAUGGUGCCGAAAGCUUGCUUACGGUUAUCAGAGUUGAUUGUCAAAAGGUUAGAACGGGUUAAAUUCGUUAAGGAUGUUGACGUAAUGGCUUUAAACGA